rnacentral:tRNA from 1 species
UCCUCGGUAGCUCAGUGGUAGAGCAUCCGACUGUUAAUCGGAUGGUCGUAGGUUCGAACCCUACCCGGGGAG